rnacentral:rRNA from 1 species
UACGUAGGGGGCGAGCGUUGUCCGGAUUUAUUGGGCGUAAAGAGCUCGUAGGCGGUUUGGUAAGUCGGGUGUGAAAACUCGAGGCUUAACCUCGAGCUGUCGGCGGAAACCCUCUGGCUAGAGUCCGGAAGAGGAGAAUGGAAUUCCCGGUGUAGCGGUGAAAUGCGCAGAUAUCGGGAAGAACACCCGUGGCGAAGGCGGUUCUCUGGGCCAUUACUGACGCUGAGGAGCGAAAGCGUGGGGAGCGAACAGG